rnacentral:rRNA from 1 species
GACGAACGCUGGCGGCGUGCUUAACACAUGCAAGUCGAACGGAAAGGUCCUGAUUUUGUGCGGCGCUCGUGUGGCGAACGGGGGAGUAACACGCGAGUAUCCCGCCCUUGACAGUGGGAUAACUUCAGGAAACUGGGGCUAAUACCGGAUAGGAGCUCCUGCUGCAUGGUGGGGGUUGGAAAGUUUCGGCGGUUGGGGCUGGACUCGCGGCUUAUCAGCUUGUUGGUGGAGUAGUGGCUGACCAAGGCUUCGACGGAUAGGCGGCCUGAGAGCGUGACCAGCCUCCAUAGUACUGCGGUACGGAGCAGACUGCAACGGGACGCAGCAGUGGAAAGCAUGACGGAGCAACGCGGAGCCAGAUACGGCGGCGCUGCGUUCGUGAUGCCGGGCUACUAGUGAAGAACCACUGUGGCCGGUGCCAAGGCCUGAGUGACGGUAAUGGGUAAGGAAGCACCGGCUAACUACGUG